AACGAACGCUGGCGGCGCGCUUAAUACAUGCAAGUCGAACGAGAAGGUGUAGCAAUACACUUGUAAAGUGGCGAACGGGUGAGGAAUACAUGGGUAACCUACCCUCGAGUGGGGAACGAACCAGCCGAAAGGUUAGGCUAAUACCGCGUACGCUUCCGGGUCGUUCGGAUUCGGAAGGAAAGUACAUACCGUGGGUAGUGACGCUCAAGGAUGGGCGUCAUGUCCUAUCAGCUUGUUGGUA
rnacentral:rRNA from 1 species